rnacentral:rRNA from 1 species
AGAGUUUGAUCCUGGCUCAGGAUGAACGCUGGCGGUAUGCUUAACACAUGCAAGUCGAACGGUCUUUUAGGAGAUAGUGGCGGACGGGUGAGUAACGCGUGAGAAUCUAGCUUCAGGUCGGGGACAACCACUGGAAACGGUGGCUAAUACCGGAUAUGCCGAAAGGUGAAAGGCUUGCUGCCUGAAGAUGAGCUCGCGUCUGAUUAGCUAGUUGGUGUGGUAAAGGCGCACCAAGGCGACGAUCAGUAGCUGGUCUGAGAGGAUGAUCAGCCACACUGGGACUGAGACACGGCCCAGACUCCUACGGGAGGCAGCAGUGGGGAAUUUUCCGCAAUGGGCGAAAGCCUGACGGAGCAAUACCGCGUGAGGGAGGAAGGCUCUUGGGUUGUAAACCUCUUUUCUCAGGGAAGAAAAAAAUGACGGUACCUGAGGAAUAAGCAUCGGCUAACUCCGUGCCAGCAGCCGCGGUAAUACGGAGGAUGCAAGCGUUAUCCGGAAUGAUUGGGCGUAAAGGGUCCGCAGGUGGCUAUGUAAGUCUGCUGUUAAAGAACCUAGCUUAACUAGGUAAAAGCAGUGGAAACUACAAGGCUAGAGUGCGUUCGGGGUAGAGGGAAUUCCUGGUGUAGCGGUGAAAUGCGUAGAUAUCAGGAAGAACACCAGUGGCGAAGGCGCUCUACUAGGCCGCAACUGACACUGAGGGACGAAAGCUAGGGGAGCGAAUGGGAUUAGAUACCCCAGUAGUCCUAGCCGUAAACGAUGGAUACUAGGCGUGGCUUGUAUCGACCCGAGCCGUGCCGAAGC